CCAAUAGCGUAUAUUAAAGUUGUUGCAGUUAAAAAGCUCGUAGUUGAAUUUCGGGGUCAGUAGGUUGGUCAUGCCUCCGGUAUGUACUGGUCUCACUGAUUCCUCCUUCCUGAUGAGCCGUAAUGCCAUUAAUUUGGUGUUGCGGGGAAUCUGGACUGUUACUUUGAAAAAAUUAGAGUGUUUAAAGCAAGCUAACGCUUGAAUACAUUAGCAUGGAAUAAUGGAAUAGGACGUUCGAACCUAUUUUGUUGGUUUCUAGGAUUGACGUAAUGAUUAAUAGGGAUAGUUGGGGGCAUUAGUAUUCAAUUGUCAGAGGUGAAAUUCUUGGAUUUAUUGAAGACUAACUACUGCGAAAGCAUUUGCCAAGGAUGUUUUCAUUAAUCAAGAACGAAAGUUAGGGGAUCGAAGACGAUCAGAUACCGUCGUAGUCUUAACCAUAAACUAUGCCGACUAGGGAUCGGAUGAUGUUAAUUUUUUAAUGACUCAUUCGGCGCCUUACG
rnacentral:rRNA from 1 species